rnacentral:rRNA from 1 species
ACUCCUACGGGAGGCAGCAGUAGGGAAUCUUCCGCAAUGGACGAAAGUCUGACGGAGCAACGCCGUGUGAGUGAUGAAGGUUCUCGGAUCGUAAAGCUCUGUUGUUAGGGAAGAACAAGUACCGUUCGAAUAGGGCGGUACCUUGACGGUACCUAACCAGAAAGCCACGGCUAACUACGUGCCAGCAGCCGCGGUAAUACA